GACGGCUCUGUCAAGCUGGCUGAUUUUGGCCUCGCUACUCAGCUCACCCCUGAGCAGAGCAGACGCUGCUCGCUAACUGGGACUCCUUGGUGGAUGGCGCCUGAAGUGGUGACAGGUCAACCAUAUGGCCCCAAAGUGGACAUAUGGUCUUUUGGAAUUGUGGGAAUUGAAAUGAUAGAACAAGAACCUCCUUACUUGAGCGAAAGUUCUGGCACGGCUACACACCUGAUAGCCACAGUAGGGACUCCACAGCUGCGGCAGCCCAAGCUCCUCUCGGCUUUGCUGCGUGACUUCCUGAGCUGCUGCCUGCAGACAGACGAGGAGCGGCGC